rnacentral:rRNA from 1 species
CCCUUAGAUGUUCUGGGCCGCACACGCGCUACACUGAAGGAGGCAGCGUGUACUCCUGGAUCGAAAGAUUUGGGUAACCCGCGAAUCUCCUUCGUGCUAGGGAUUGAGGUUUGCAAUUAUCCUUCAUGAACGAGGAAUUCCCAGUAAGUGCAAGUCAUAAGCUUGCGCUGACUACGUCCCUGCCCUUUGUACACACCGCCCGUCGCUACUACCGAUUGAAUGAUUUAGUGAGGACUUCGGACUGGGACCGAUGCGGCUUUCGGGCUGCGUCGGUAUUCUGGAAAGAUGUCCAAACUGUAUCAUUUAGAGGAAGUGAAAGUCGUAACA